AGGAGAAAUCGCAUAGGAGAUCUCGUCAAGGAAUAUUGCAAAUCAGGUGAGCCUUGAUAUGGGGACUUGGGCCGGACGGGAUUCAGAGUGGCCACGGUGAUCGCUUUUGGACCUUUAUAUAAGCUUUGGUUUUCAUUUAAUUUCCUUUAUUUAUUAUUUAUUUUUGGGUUGUAAUAAGGCCAUUUUUAACUUUUCUUUUAUUUCUUCUCGGGAUUAUUUUAUUUUUAAUAACUUCAAACCUGGUUGAUAAUUGUUCAAA